CGCCGCUCCGCCCCGCGUUCCGGCCCGAAGCCCCGGUGUCUCCCCGGGCCAGCCCCGGGGGUGAGCCGUGCAGGGACGGGGAUGGCCCGAAGGGAGCCGCGUCCCCUUGGAGCAGCCACGGAAGUGUCGGAGGGUGAGGGGGGGCACAGCCAGGC